rnacentral:tRNA from 1 species
AGAGCAUAGCUCAGUGGUAGAGUGCGUGCUUAGCAUGCAAAAGGUCCUGGGUUCAAUCCCCAGUACCUCCA